rnacentral:lncRNA from 1 species
CUGGGGCCCAUCUAUCCUGUAGCUCAGGGUGCCAGCUGAGCUGUGCCCAUGGUGACUGUGUGCAUGUACAAGAAGGGGCCCUGGUGAGGCUUCAGUGAGUGGCUGGAUGCAAAGUGCGUGGAGCAGAGACAACUGCCAUUGCUCCCCUGGGGCUGAUUUAUAGCCAUGAGGUCACCCCUUGGACAUUGGACACUGACAACCUGGCAGUCACUAACACUUGAUCUUAAGUCCCUUUGCUUCAGAGUUCACUGUAGAAGGAGCUGACGGGAGGUGGCAUGAAGGAUCUAGCCACAGUUCAAGCACUGGCCGGUGCUCUCCGCUGAGUGUUUCCUAGGAUGAAUUACAGCCAGAGAUCAGCUUGAAGCCCAGGCCUUACAAGCAACAGGAAAGAACACUUCCCGGAACUGAUAGAACGAGGUGUCAGAAGAGGCCUCCAUGGGGACUCCAUCAUCCCACCUCCGCUAUAUGGGGAGACCUGGGAUCAACACCUAUGCCUCACUGUUGAAGCCCAACCAGAAGCUGGAAGACAAGGGACACUAGGAGUGGACAACGAAGGGCACCCUGGAAGGGCCCAGAGCAGGGUGGGAUGUUGUGAGGGACAGGAGAAGAUCACCAGGAUAUCUGCAUU